GACGAACGCUGGCGGCGUGCUUAACACAUGCAAGUCGAACGGAAAGGCCCUGCUUGCAGGGUGCUCGAGUGGCGAACGGGGGAGUAACACGCGGGUGAUCUGUCCCCUACUUUGGGAUAAGCCUGCGAAACAGGGUCGAAUACUGGAUAGGACCAUGCUGUAGGCGGUGUGGUGGAUAGAUUAGUUUCGGUAAGGGAUGAGCUCGCGGCGGCUCAGCUUGUUGGUGGGGUAUUGGCCUAUCAAGGCGUCGACGGGUAGCCGGCCUGAGAGGGUGGACGGCGGCAUUAGGGGUACGGUGCGGCGCCGAAUCCUCCGAGGGGCAGCAGUGGGGAGUAUUGGAGAAUGAUGGGAGGACUGAUGCAGCGACGCCGCGUGGGGGAGGACGGCCGUCUGGUUGUAAACACCUGUCAGCGAUGGCGAAGCCCUGGGAGUGACGGUAGUGGUAAAAGAAGCACCGGCUAACUACGUG
rnacentral:rRNA from 1 species